rnacentral:lncRNA from 1 species
UUCAAAUUGAAAGAGAGAAGGUUUAGAUCAGAUAUUAGGAAGAAAUUCCUUACUGGGAGGAUGGUGAGUUAAUGGUACAGGCUGAGAAGCUGCAGCUACCCCAUCCCUGGAAGUGUCCAAGGCCUGGCUGAAUGGGGCUUGGAGGAACUUGAGACAGUGGAAAGUGUCCCUGGGGUUGGAAGGAGAUGAUGAACCCAAGCCUUUCUAUAAUCUGUGAUUUUCUUAGGGGCACUGAGGACAGCUGCUGCACUGCAUCUCUCUUUAUUCUUCCCCAACACUGGUUUAACUGCAGAUGAACAAAUUUGGCUUUGUCCCUUUACUGGGACACCAGCUCAGCAUCCAGACUCAGAUAUUUCACCUAACCAAGACACCUUCAUUAUCUGAAAAUUUGCAAACUCUGAUCAGCAAUCAGAUCUGAGCUGGCCCAGAACCCUAUUGAUCCACUGUGACUGUCCUCAAUGCAAAACACAUCUCGUAUUCACCAACAUCUGAACGUAUUCUGCUGUACCUUUAAUGAAAGAAAUUUCUGUACCAGACAGAAAUGACUCAAAUCUGAGUCAAGUUGUUGUCCUCUCAAUACAGGAAGUUAUAUUUAAAUAAGUAGUAAUAUAAACUCAAAUGCUAUCAGAAAGACAUUAGGUUAAGGAAAGCGAAACUAGAUAGUCUGAUGUUUUAUUUUUCAAUUCUGUUUAGAGAUCAAUGACUGAAGAUUAAUGCUGCUUGAAACAAGAAAAGCUUAAUGAUGGCUGGGGGGACAAAGGAAAUAAAAUGGAGGAGGAGAGCUAACAGCCUUGAAACAAUAACCUGGCAUAAAAGAGUUCCAGAGUUAGAACAAAGCUCCUCACCCCAGGCCUUGUUGAUUGCCCUUGCAGUGUUGAUCUGUAAGUCUCCCAAAACUUCUGGGUGUCCCACUGCUGCCAAACCCUCCAGCACCUCUGUGGCUUCCCUUUCUUUCAAGAAGGAAGAUGCUGUGCUUUCUCUUGGCUGACCAUCACCAGGGUCCUACACAACACCCAUAACAAACCAAAGUGAUUUAACAGCAGACAGAGUUGAAAGGGAAGAGGUGCAGGUGGUUCUUUGUGUGACUUUCAUAUUUCCUAAGAGUUUUAUAGGGCCCUGGGAAUAUAUGGAGAAUAUCUGCCCCCAGGCUUAUGGAAAAACAGUGAAUUUCCUCAUAUUUGGGAAGGCACAAGGUUUAAAGGAUAUCUCACAGUCAGACAGAAAAAAAGAAGAGCCACUCUUAGUGGCUAGGUGGAAAAAUGUUCAAUCUGUACAAAUCUGGUCCAUUUUGAGGAACAUUUAUGAGACUUCUGAUGGCAAGCGUACAGCUCCCACCCUGGCUCUGAGCUAAACAGGUAAUUUUCAGAUGAAGUGUUCAGCCCAUGAUUUUGUCUCCAAAGAUGUGAGAAUCAAGGCCUGUGCACUUUGCCAGUGAUUCUUUCAAAAGCAAUCUACGGAGCAAUGCAGAUGGUGCUUCACAGGUUAAAAAGACUGUGCUUGGUGGGAAAAAAGGUCAUUUUCCUGAGCUU